CUCGCAAGAGUGAACGAGCUAACUGAAAGAAUAUAUAAUCUAAAGUUAGGAAUCUUAUAAUUUUUAUUAUAAGUUUAAAGACGAAUCUAACUAACAGUGUCGUCCAAAUUCUGGUGCCAGAAGACUCGGUAAUACCAGAGACGCGAACGUUAAUCAUCUUGAAUGGGCAUAAAGGGUUUGUAGGCGGCUUAUUUAUUAAUAGGCUAGAAUCUUAUAGAGGUUAAUAAAAUACUUAGAGGAGGGCUGAUAUCCUUAGAUCCUAAGUGGAAUCCUAAUUGCGAAGGCCAUUUUCCACUACAGAUUGACGCUGAUACACGAAGGUUAGGAUAGGAACUAGGAUUAGAGACCCUAUUACCCCUAACUGUAAACGAUGAAUGGAAGAUAUUUACAACUGUAAGUGUCGAAGUGAAUACGAUAACCAUUCCGCCUUGCCAGUAUACUUGCAAAAGUGAAAACAAAAAAAUUAGUCGGUCCUAAAGCAAACG
rnacentral:rRNA from 1 species